rnacentral:lncRNA from 1 species
AGGUACCAAAAUAUAGACAGAAUGGCAGAGUGCUAGUGUUUGAUCCAAAGGGUAAAUGAUUUAUUACUUAAAAAAAAAUAUGUUUCAUCACCAUUUUGUCCUAAAUAUUAAGAAGAUAGUCUACUGGAGCGAUUGAAUGUGAUUGAAGUCUUAGCAAUUAAAUCCUUUAGUAUAUUGCCUGUCAUUCAAAAACUGCUUAAGUAUAUUUACCAAUCAGGAAUUCCUGUUAGGAACAUUACUACAGAUAAAAUACUGAGUUGUGUUUUUCUUUUCUUCUCUUUCAGCAAAAGUGAUGCUUGAACCAAAUGAAGCAAUGUCAGAGUAAGAUGUCUCUGGUUGUGCAGCUGAUCUAUCACAUGCCUUUUAAGCAAUUAGAACUAGAUAAUGCAAUCAUUUGUCACCCAAUUAAAUUUGAAAGGCCAGAAAUGCAUGGAUUAGCACUUUAAUUUUUGCUUCGGUCAAAGCAGUUGUUACUUUAGAUAAAAGGGCAUUUAAAAUGAAAAAUGAUUUUUGAUAAAAGUCUAGAGGUAUAAAUAAUAUUCACUUCCACUUUUUAAAUGCUUAAAUACCAAGUAAUCGGUAUUUUACUUAUACAACUUUCAUUGCUCAUUCCUAUUUCUUCUUGGUACUUGCUUAUUUCUUUCAGAAUAUCCCUUUAAAUUAAUAUUUACUUUAAAGAUUCUUUAUUUACUAUGAGAUGAAUCAUUACUACUAAAUAAGGGAACUAAUCGCCCUAAUUAGUUGAAGGGACUGGUGUUAAAAAGAAUCAUGGUUCAAUUUCAG